UCUUGAGAGCGGCGGACGGGUGAGUAAUGCCUAGGAAUCUGCCUGGUAGUGGGGGAUAACGUCCGGAAACGGACGCUAAUACCGCAUACGUCCUACGGGAGAAAGCAGGGGACCUUCGGGCCUUGCGCUAUCAGAUGAGCCUAGGUCGGAUUAGCUAGUUGGUGGGGUAAUGGCUCACCAAGGCGACGAUCCGUAACUGGUCUGAGAGGAUGAUCAGUCACACUGGAACUGAGACACGGUCCAGACUCCUACGGGAGGCAGCAGUGGGGAAUAUUGGACAAUGGGCGAAAGCCUGAUCCAGCCAUGCCGCGUGUGUGAAGAAGGUCUUCGGAUUGUAAAGCACUUUAAGUUGGGAGGAAGGGCAGUAAAUUAAUACUUUGCUGUUUUGACGUUACCGACAGAAUAAGCACCGGCUAACUCUGUGCCAGCAGCCGCGGUAAUACAGAGGGUGCAAGCGUUAAUCGGAAUUACUGGGCGUAAAGCGCGCGUAGGUGGUUCGUUAAGUUGGAUGUGAAAUCCCCGGGCUCAACCUGGGAACUGCAUUCAAAACUGACGAGCUAGAGUAUGGUAGAGGGUGGUGGAAUUUCCUGUGUAGCGGUGAAAUGCGUAGAUAUAGGAAGGAACACCAGUGGCGAAGGCGACCACCUGGACUGAUACUGACACUGAGGU
rnacentral:rRNA from 1 species